AAAGAGGGAUAGAGAGAAAGAAAGAGAGAAAGAAAGAUAUAGGUUAGAUAUUUUAUGAUGGUUCGUUUGUGGCAAGCUUGUUUUUUGGCUUUUGCUAUU
rnacentral:ribozyme from 1 species